rnacentral:rRNA from 1 species
GACGAACGCUGGCGGCGUGCUUAACACAUGCAAGUCGAACGGUGAAGCGCUUGCCUUUUUGGUGGGUGUGGAUGAGUGGCGAACGGGUGAGUAACACGUGAGUAACCUGCCCUCUUCUUCUGGAUAACCUCAUGAAAGUGGGGCUAAUACGGGGUAUUCCGGGUCUGUCGCAUGGCGGGUUUGGGAAAGAUUGCGCCUUUGGGUGUUUUCGGUGGGGGAUGGGCUCGCGGCCUAUCAGCUUGUUGGUGGGGUGAUGGCCUACCAAGGCGGUGACGGGUAGCCGGCCUGAGAGGGUGGACGGCCACACUGGGACUGAGACACGGCCCAGACUCCUGCGGGAGGCAGCAGUGGGGAAUAUUGCACAAUGGGCGCAAGCCUGAUGCAGCGACGCCGCGUGAGGGAUGGAGGCCUUCGGGUUGUGAACCUCUUUCGCCAGUGAAGCAGGCCUGCUCCUGUGUGGGUGGGUUGACGAUAGCUGGAUAAGAAGCGCCGGCUAACUACGUG